AUAACUUAAAUAAUGAUAUUAUUAUCUUUUAAUUUAUACUUUACUCUGCUAUUAUUAAUGUAAUGAUUUUAUAUUAAACUAUAGCAAUAUCGAUUUAAAAUUUAUGUUGUAUAUUAUUAUACACAACUUUUUAGUAAACCAUACAAGUAUUCUGAAGAGGACUGAAGAUGCAGCGCCAUUUGGACUUUUCUGCCGGAGAAUAAAUGAACUACAAAUCAAUAUGGCCGUAGCAAACACAGUAUAUGAAUAGUGUAGAAAGAAUGACAAUUAAAUGAAGUAUAAAUAAAGCAUAUAUAUAUGUUCUUAGAAUAUUUUAAUUAACAUUCUUUCUACCCCAUACUGUGUACAAAAAUUUUUAAAUGCUUAUCGAUAACACGAAAGUAUAGGUUAAGAACGAUGAAAUAAAAUGUAAAGUUUUACUGUUUGCUACACUGCUAAUCGAUUAAUCGUUGAUUGAAGUUAACCAAGCUUAGUUGAAGUGGCCUUAAAAAUGUGCUUUGAUUAUUGAUGUUAUUAUUAUUUAGCGAAAAUAAUAUAAUAUAGUUGGUUGGACAAGAAAAGCAAGAGGCGGACAAAACUUUGACUGUGCCGGUUUGUUGAGAGAACACGGAUGAUCGUCUUAAGAACCAAUAGCUCAUUGCACGAGGAUAGGCUUCGGUGUGACAAUCGAUCGUCACGUUGGUACCAGCUGGUGCUCCGACCAAUUGAUUUGGUACGAAGAUCAUUGGAUGACUUUCGGUGCGAGAUAGUCUACAGUGGGAAACGAGUUGGAAACAAAGUCAAUUAUCGUUUGCUCGGGACUCGGAUUGCGAACAUGCUCGAGUUAAAGUCGAACGAUACGAUGUCCCAAGGAUUGUUGUGUUUCUUCUUUUCUUUCUCUUUCUUGUCUUAACGUUGGUUCUUAUACAAUUCGGGAGAUGGAAAAAGUCCGAAGAUGGUUGACCUUUUGUAUUUUGUAAAACGAUAUUCAACGACGAUUUCUUUCGAUCUUGUCUUCUUCUUCGUCGUCUUCUUCUUCUUCUUCUUUCUCUUUCCUUUCUUUCACGUUUGUUUUUAGAGACAUUUGGACUUUGGAAAAUGGUACUGGAAGGUCCAAGAAGGAUUUUCUUUGACGUAUCAUUGUAAUAAAGGAACUCCCAUUUUCAUAAUUGUAUCUGAACUGUUAAAAGAAUAUAACGAAAGCGUCGUACCAUUUUCUUUCGAAAUAUCAACUCGAUUAAUCGUUUUAAAAUAUUUGACAAAUUUAUAUUAAUGUUUAUGAUAUCUUAUAAUGGCGACAUAUUUGAUAUACAAUAAAAAAGCAAAAAAAGAAAAAAAGAAAAAAAGAAAAAGAAGGAAAAGAAAGGGAAGGAAACAAAGAAUUAUAAUAUAUUAUAAUUAGAGAUUAAUGAUUUACGAAAUAUCCUGUAUAUCAGUGAAUUUCAAUUUUUAAUAUUAUUAAUAAAACAAUAAAAAUAAAAAAAAAAAUAAAAAACGUAACAACUGAUAUAAUACGUACUAUAUUCGUUUAGAAUAUUUAUUUAGAUUAAUAGUAGUAAUAACGUUAUCAAAGUACUUUAGAUAUUUGAUAAUAUCAUUUAAGAAUUAAUACGUCGAACUAGCUUUGAAAGAUAAGAUAAAAUACCUCGA